rnacentral:rRNA from 1 species
CCUACGGGCGGCAGCAGUGAGGAAUAUUGGUCAAUGGACGCAAGUCUGAACCAGCCAUGCCGCGUGCAGGAAGACGGCUCUAUGAGUUGUAAACUGCUUUUGUACGAGGGUAAACGCAGAUACGCGUAUCUGUCUGCAAGUAUCGUACGAAUAAGGAUCGGCUAACUCCGUGCCAGCAGCCGCGGUAAUACGGAGGAUUCAAGCGUUAUCCGGAUUCAUUGGGUUUAAAGGGUGCGCAGGCGGUGCUUUAAGCCGGUGGUGAAAUCGCGGGGCUAAACCCCGCCGGGCUGGUGGAACUGGGUGCCUUGAGUGCCGCGGAGGCAUGCGGAAUGCGCGGUGUAGCGGUGAAAUGCAUAGAUAUCGCGCAGAACCCCGAUUGCGAAGGCAGCGUGCCGUGCCGCCACUGACGCUGAGGCACGAAAGCGCGGGGAUCGAACAGGAUUAGAUACCCUUGUAGUC